UACGUAGGGGGCAAGCGUUGUCCGGAUUUAUUGGGCGUAAAGAGCGUGUAGGCGGUUUGGUAGGUCCGUUGUGAAAACUCGAGGCUCAACCUCGAGACGCCGAUGGAAACCAUCAGACUAGAGUCCGGAAGAGGAGAGUGGAAUUCCUGGUGUAGCAGUGAAAUGCGUAGAGAUCAGGAGGAACAUCAGUGGCGAAGGCGCUACUCUGGACUAAUACUGACACUGAGGAGCGAAGGCGUGGGGAGCAAACAGG
rnacentral:rRNA from 1 species